rnacentral:rRNA from 1 species
GACGAACGCUGGCGGCGUGCUUAACACAUGCAAGUCGAACGGAAAGGCCCUGCUUUUGUGGGGUGCUCGAGUGGCGAACGGGUGAGUAACACGUGAGUAACCUGCCCUUGACUUUGGGAUAACUUCAGGAAACUGGGGCUAAUACCGGAUAGGAGCUCCUGCUGCAUGGUGGGGGUUGGAAAGUUUCGGCGGUUGGGGAUGGACUCGCGGCUUAUCAGCUUGUUGGUGGGGUAGUGGCUUACCAAGGCUUUGAUGGGUAGCCGGCCUGAGAGGGUGACCGGCCACAUUGGGACUGAGAUACGGCCCAGACUCCUACGGGAGGCAACAGUGGGGAAUAUUGCACAAUGGGCGGAAGCCUGAUGCAGCAACGCCGCGUGCGGGAUGACGGCCUUCGGGUUGUAAACCGCUUUCGCCUGUGACGAAGCGUGAGUGACGGUAAUGGGGAAAGAAGCACCGGCUAACUACGU